UACGAAGGGGGCUAGCGUUGCUCGGAAUCACUGGGCGUAAAGGGUGCGUAGGCGGGUCUUAAGUCAGGGGUGAAAUCCUGGAGCUCAACUCCAGAACUGCCUUUGAUACUGGCGAUCUUGAGUCCGGGAGAGGUGAGUGGAACUGCGAGUGUAGAGGUGAAAUUCGUAGAUAUUCGCAAGAACACCAGUGGUGAAGGCGGCUCACUGGCCCGGUACUGACGCUGAGGUGCGAAAGCGUGGGGAGCAAACAGGG
rnacentral:rRNA from 1 species